rnacentral:rRNA from 1 species
UACGGAGGGUGCAAGCGUUGUUCGGAAUCAUUGGGCGUAAAGGGCGCGUAGGCGGUCCGGUAAGUCGGGUGUGAAAGCCCCCGGCUCAACCCGGGAAUUGCAUUCGAAACUGCCGGACUUGAGGACGGGAGGUGGAAGUUGAAUUACUGGUGUAGGGGUGACAUCCGUAGAUAUCAGGAGGAACACCGGUGGCGAAGGCGACUUCCUGGACCGAUACUGACGCUGAGGCGCGAAAGCUUGGGGAGCAAACAGG